GUGAAAUAUUUCCGCCAUUUAUGGAAUUGGGGGGCAAAUUGAUUAAAACUAAAAGAAACCAAUGUUUCACAAACAAAUAUAUUUGUUUGUCAUUAAAAUGUAUUUUUUAUGUGAAGAAUAUAAAUGGCUUGUAGUUACUUGGGUUACCAAGAAUAUAUCGAUUUCCUGAUUUUGCUUGAGACGGCGUGGUGUUGAUAUCUCCCGGAACAGCAAAGCACUUACCUCUGUCAAGUGCGAUGUAGUCGUGCUACUGCUAGUAAUAGUUGUAGACCUUGGUUGUUUCGCACUUAAAUUUGAAAUUCGUAGGCUGCAGGUGUGCUCUCUUUUCUUUCUUGAAAUACUGUUUAAAAUAUUCAAUAUUAUCAGAGGGAAUCUUAGUUUCACGAAGAGCAUUUUUCUGAAGUCUUAACAGUUAUUCAACCAAACCUGUCUAGUGGUAGCAUCUGAUAUUCAUCUUAUGGGAGGGUUGGAGAUGGAGAAUGAUGAAAGUGAAGAACAGAGUAAACGUCCAGGUACAAGAGUUUUUAAGAAGAGUUCCCCAAAUGGAAAGAUCACAGUGUACCUUGGAAAGAGAGAUUUUGUGGAUCAUAUGACUCAUGUUGACCCAAUAGAUGGUGUUAUCCUAGUGGAUCCAGAGUACAUGAAGGAGCGUAAAGUAUUUGGACAUGUUCUGGCAGCCUUUCGCUAUGGUAGGGAGGAUCUAGAUGUUUUAGGUUUGACCUUCCGGAAAGACUUGUAUUUAGCAUCAGCACAGAUCUAUCCCUUAGAAAUAGCCACUGAAACCAAACAACCCUUGACACGGCUUCAGGAGAGACUCAUAAGGAAACUAGGGCCAAAUUCUUAUCCAUUUUACUUUGAGCUUCCACCUCACUGUCCUGCAUCAGUCACACUCCAGCCAGCACCAGGAGAUACUGGGAAACCAUGUGGAGUGGACUAUGAGUUGAAGGCUUAUGUUGCUGACACUGAAGAAGAAAAACCUCACAAAAGAAACUCUGUAAGGCUGGCUAUUCGUAAGAUUAUGUAUGCACCUAGUAAGCAAGGGGAACAGCCCAGUGUGGAAAUCAGCAAGGAGUUUAUGAUGUCCCCUAACAAACUCCAUCUCGAAGCUUCUCUAGAUAAAGAGUUAUACUACCAUGGAGAAGAGAUAGCAGUUAAUGUGCAUGUUGCAAACAACUCCAACAGAACUGUCAAAAAAAUCAAAGUUUCUGUUCGACAAUUUGCUGACAUAUGUUUGUUUUCCACUGCUCGAUACAAAUGUUCAGUAGCUGAAGUAGAGAGCGAGGAUGGUUGUCCUAUAGGACCUGGAUUUACAUUAUCAAAGGUGUUUUACUUGAAGCCAUUGCUUGCAAACAACAAAGACAAACGAGGCUUAGCUCUUGAUGGUCAGCUGAAACAUGAGGAUACGAAUCUUGCUUCUUCCACAAUAAUUACAGACCCAGACCAAAAAGAAAAUUUGGGAAUCAUUGUCCAGUAUAAAGUGAAGGUGAAGCUAUGCCUGGGCCCACUUGGAGGAGAUGUAAUUGCAGAACUUCCAUUUGUCCUAAUGAAUGCAAAACCUGAGGAGACACAAGACACACUUGUUAAUCCAGUUCAAGGAUCAGAUGAACAUAAUGAUAAAAUGGUUCCUGUUGACACCAAUCUCAUUCAACUGGAAACUGAUCAAACAAGUGGACUAGCAGAUCAGGAUGAUGACAUCAUUUUCGAAGAUUUUGCAAGACUUCGACUGAGAGGAGAAACAGAUGCUUGAAGGCAGUAAACAUUGAUGAAAAGACUUGUUUCUCAAUGUUUUUAAUUACUUAAGGUUUGUAGCAGACAGUGUUAUUUGGGCCAGCUCAUUAAUCUUCAAUAAAUAUUUAACAACAACAGACAGAGAAAUAGUUGUUGGCUAGGUAUGUCUGAUGUUUUUUUAUUGUCACAUUUUCCUGUUUUAUCAGAGACUUCUACUAUGCUAAUGAGAAAUUGAUCCAGCAGUUUUAUUUAAGAUUAAAUUACUGAUUUUGGUGGAGAAACAUGAAUUUUAGAAGGUUAAGAGUAGUAUGAAAUUUUUAAACUAACAGCCGAAGCUAGUUGUUAAAAAAUAGUUCUCGUGCCAGUUAGGCCUUUGCUCAAUAUCUUCCAGUCUUUUGGUAAAGCAGUCUGAUUAUUAGGUAGUAAAACCUUUAAGGAUUAAUGUGUGCUGAAAAGUUUAGUGAAAAGUUUUUUUCCAUAAUUUAACCUUCAAAGCUUAAAGUUGAUUGAAUGAGAAAAUAUGUAUUAUUGAAUUUUGAUUAUUAUUAUUAUUAUGUAUGUAAACUAAAGGAGUUCAGGAUAUUGGUUUGUGUUUAUAACAGUAACCAAAAGAGAACAAUGCAAUGCUUAACUUUAGCUUUAACCUAAGGUUAUUGCAGUUAGUGUAAAUUGGAUUAUAAUCUUUUUUAAGAAGUUAUUGUUUUAGAUGGCUCUCAGCUUUAACUAGGAAGAACUCACUGUUUGUUGGAUUUAUAUUUACAUAAGAAAUGGUUUAUUUUGACAUGUUUAAAACUUUUUAAAGACAUUUAGAAUUGUGUUGGAAAUGUGUUAAGCUUGUGUUGUCCUCAUUUUUUUAUACUUUAUUCACAAAAAUAAUACUGUUAAACAUGUAUGUUUUGGUAAGAAAAACAGGUUUUUUUGUUCUCCAUGUAUUACUAAACAGUUUUGGAUAGAAAAACAGGUUUUUGUUCUCCAUGUAUUACUAAACAGUUUUGGUUAGAAAAACCGGUUUUUGUUCUCCAUGUAUUACUAAACAGUUUUGAUUAGAAAAACAGGUUUUUUGUUCUCCAUGUAUUACUAAACAGUUUUGGUUAGAAAAACAGAUUUUUUGUUCUUGAUCUUAACUGUUUAGUUAAGAUCACAAGAAAAAUAAAUGAAAGUUUAUUUUGUUAUGUAUACCAAUGGAAACAAAAGUAUUUAUGUGUAAAUGACUGGGUUAUUCAUAAGUAAAUAGGAUUAGUGAAGUGUUAAAAUAACAGUUUUUUUUGUCAAAUACAGCUGCAUGGAUUUAGUAAUAUGAGAAUGAGAAUUGUUUCACUUAUUGAUUUUGAGUCUUCAGUUGUUGUUUUGUUGUUUUUUUUUCUGUUUUCCUGAAAUCAUUGAUUUAAAUAGUGAAUUCAUUUCUUAAAGUUUUCUUACAUAGUUGAAAUCGAUCGGUAUAUAUAUAUAAUUUUCUUUAAAAUUAUGCUGAAUUGUUUAACAGGUAAAUUUACUUAUACAAAGUUAAGUUGCUUCAGUUGAUAGGUGUAGAAAACGUGCUUAAAGUUACAAUAACAUAGUUGCAGUCUAUAGUAACUGUCACAGAUGUGCAAGUUGAACCAUACUUUAGGUAGUGCCGGUAUAGUAACUGUCACAAAUGUACAAGUUGAACCAUACUUUAGGUAGUGCCAGUAUCGUAACUGUCACAAGUUGAACCAUACUUUAGGUAGUGCCAGUAUAGUAACUGUCACAAGUUGAACCAUACUUUAGGUAGUGCCGGUAUAGUAACUGUCACAAAUGUACAAGUUGAACCAUACUUUAGGUAGUGCCGGUAUAGUAACUGUCACAAGUUGAACCAUACUUUAGGUAGUGCCAGUAUAGUAACUGUCACAAGUUGAACCAUACUUUAGGUAGUGCCAGUAUAUGCUCUUCUUGUUUUUUAUUUUAUUGUAUUUGAAGCAAUGAAAAAAAAGAUAUUUAAUUUUUGAGUUAUUGAAAUUAAGUUGUGUUUUUUAUUAUUAUUGUAAGUAUAAUCUUCUAUACCUCAAGGGUCAACACUAGUCGUGGUACAACUUUCAGUACACUUUGUGUUGGGUACUUUCAGAUUUAAUUUGAAAAGCUUGAAAAUACUCCCAAACAAGUUGGGUCAGACAAAGAAUGCCAUUUUCUAAACUAACUUGUAUUGGAUCUUUUCUCUUCUUGCUACAUACUAGUCUGCUUAUAUAAGACAAACUGAUACAGUCUAUGUAAAGCAUGCUAUUGUAUAUUAGUUUGAAUAAUGUAAAUAUAUACAUAUACAUAUGUAGACACAAACAAAUAAACAUGCAUAUAUACAUAAAUUUGUAUGUAGAUGGGUACAACAUGUAGUACCUUGCUUAUUGUAUUGUGUUUGCUGCAUUUCAUUAUUUUCUUGAAUCGGAGAAAUAACUAGUUGAAAUGUAGAAUGGAAUUACGAAAUUAUUGGAUGACACAAAAAUUGACUUGUAGGAUAAAAAAAAAAGAAAAAUUGUAGUGGCUGCUUCUUUUGUAUCUUUAAGACGAGCAGUAUAUUAUGAAGUUGAGCUGAGGUCGGCCAAAUGGUUAGUAUGCUGGACUGUGGAUCUGAGGUUCGCACAUCGUUACUGCCAAAAGAAAGAAAUAGUUGCACUCUGGACUUUGGGUCCGUAGGUGCAUUUUAAAAAUGGUGAUCAAAUCCCACUAUUUAUUAGGUGAAGAGUUGGCAGUGGGUGGUGUUGACUAGCUGUUUUCUCUAUUAUCUCUUACUUAAAAGAUUAGAUGACUAAUGCAACUAGACCUCAAAUAGCUUUGCUUGAAAUUCAACAAACAAAGCUAUUAAGUUUUUUUUAUAUUUUAAUUUGUUAAACUUUGUAACUUCUCAGAAAAACAUUUCAUUUUUAUGAUGACAGGCUUCUACUGAAUCUUCUCUAAGAGGAAACAAAAAAUUAGAUUUCUAUUCUUAAUGUAUUCCCAGGAACUUAUCAUUGUUUAGGGGCAUUUCUUUUUUUACUGAUAAAACCAUAAAAAGUGAAAUAUUAAUUACUUAAACAAUGUCUAGAGAGAGAGAGUCUAUGCCUUUUGAUUUUUCUCCAACAAGAAGCACAACUAUGUUGAAAAAAACUAUUAAUUCAAUUUGAAACAUAUUUUUAAAAUAUCUAAGAACUGAAUAAAAUAACCUAAAACUGACCGUUAUCCUUUGAACAAGAAAGAAUGUAUGAACUUUCAAAAAACAUUGGAAUUAUUCACAUGCUGAUUGAAAAACAAAUCUCUGGUAUCAUAAUUGAAAAGCCUACAUAUGCUCAUAACAUUUAAAAAAAAUUAGAAGUCUGAUUAAAUUAAUAUUUGUUAUUCUUCAAUUUUUUAGACUUUGAUAUGUGCAAUGUCUUUAAUUGCCAGUGAAUUUGUUUUACUUUUGGAAACAGUUGCAACUUUGUAAGUAAUACUUUACUAAAUGUAAUUUGUUUUGAAAUGUAUUUAACACUUUUAUGUUUACAAAUUAAACACAUCUUAAUGUCUGUUGUUAAAUGUCAGAGUUAAGAUAAUUGGGGGUUUAUAGCUGAGAUUAUUUGUUUAAAACUCAUUACAGCUGUGUGUUGCAAUGAUUUUAAUUGUUGAAUGGUGCAGUGCAUCGUAAUUUGUUGAGUAAAACUGUAUAUUGUAAUUUUAUGUAUUAAUCAUUAGAACUACGCAUUGCAUUAUCUGUUCAUUAAUUAAACAUAGGAGAACCUUGAAGAUUAUACUGGCUGCAUUAUGUCUAUCAGCAUUUUAACUUUGUUGAUAGUAUAUAAUAAAUAGUUUCUACAUUAAAAGCAAAUGUAUCAGGCUUAUAAUUGUAGAGUUAACUAUCAUUAAUCAUUUUAAAAAGUAACUUUUUCUUCCUGUUUAGCUUUUUGCAACAAAUGCAAUUCUCCAUGUUACUUUAGAUAGAGCUUGUAUUUAGCCAUGGACCUAAUAUCAGUUCAUUUUAUCAAAGUGAGUAGAAUAACACUUUCACUGCUUAAUAGAAUAAAGCAAGUUACAGUGCUUGUAAUCUUGUCUAUGCUGUACUCAGAAUGCUAGUAAUAAGUCAGAAAUAGUAGUAUUUAUAUGUUAAAUGCACUUCCCUAGUCCUCUCCAUACCACUCGAGUCAAGACUGUGAACAUGCUCAUCAUGAAUAUAUCAAGUUACUUAACCCAGGAUUUAAAUAAAUUGUUUUAUAUUUUUCAAAUAUAAUCUCACAAUAUGAUGUAAGGAAAUUGUGUAUUUCACCUAAAAUCAGUUCAUUCUUUAGAAUAUGUGUGCUUAUCUUACUCUAUUAAUUUAUAAUUUUUUUUAUUAGAACUGUAUUCACCAGGCUUGCAAAUUUGUAUCUGGAGCUUUGUAAACUUGCAAGAUAAUUUUUCAGGGCAUUAACUUUUGAUUUGUACAGGGUGUAUUAAAAGAUAUUGUUUCAA
rnacentral:misc_RNA from 1 species